GCACUAAAAUUUAUAAAUUCUAUUUAAAAAGAACGUAUAAAAAUGAGGAAAGCAUUAACAAAAUUUACAAAAACAAAUAAGUGAUAUUGUCCUUUAUACUUUUGUAUAGAGAAGUUAGGAUCACCCGAAUCUAAUCUAAAAAAAUGUAUGUAGGAAUACUUGCUAGUUGCUAGGUUGGGAUACCCUCCCAAUACCCAACUGCCAAAACUAUUUAUGUCUUGGAUUGUGAGGGAUCACAUAAGUACAAUUCAAUGAUUGUGAAAAUUGAAUUUCAAGGGUUAUUUUCAUGCCAGUAGAGACGUUUUUUUAACCAAACCAUGCAUGGAUUGGGAGGGAAAAAUAGUUGGAAAAAUUGAAUUCACAAGUGUUGUGUUAUUGUCGAUGUCCAGAGAAAAAAGUUUUUACCGAUUUGCAAAUUGGGGUCCACGGAUCGGGGGCAAAACUCCCAUGGUGUUGCCUAUGAAAAUUUGGUCUCUUGACAUGGUAUUAGAAACCAACAUGAUAAUAGGUAUCAAAAGUCAACAUGAUAUGGUAUCAACGUCAAGUAUGACAAGACAUCAUGUGCUGCAUCCACACUUUUAAUCUAAAGGAUUCUCGUGUAAGGAGAUGUCUAUGUUAGAGUAUACAACAUAUCCUACUGUCUAGCUCAAAUAUAUUAUAUACUCCAACAUAUUUGUUUUUAUUAAUUUUGAACCAUUCACACAUCUACCUUUGCGAAACUGUCAGCCAAAAAAGCUCACUCGGCUUCCUGGUCGUGGAAGUGGACACCGAGUAGGCUUUUUCUUCUGGAAUCUGUGCAGCCUAUUUUCAAUACUUUAAUUUUGUAUUAUUUUUUAUCCUUAUUUUAAUUAACUUCUUAGAGGUUUAUUUAGGGGUUAAUGAGGAGCAUUUAGGUUUAGCCUCAUUUAGAGGAGCACAAGGAAAGGGAUUAAAAACCUCUUCUUCUUCUUCCUCCUUCAUCUUCCUCUCCAUUUGAAUACCAUUUUAAUUCUUGUGCCCAUUCUUAAGAGAAAGUAGAGUCUUAGUUGGGUGAUUUUGUGAUUCUUGAUCGUGCAGUGACGCUUACAGGUACGUACACGCAGUAAUAACCCUUAUAUGCAAUUUUCUUUAAGACAUUAUUGUUUAUUUUGAUAAUAUGCAUUGUCUUGAAACUGUGAAGUAUUAGUAAGUACACGCAGUAACUGAUUCUUGCAUGCAUCUUCAAUAUAUUUUCCUUGCGUGAUAAUAUUAUGCGAGCUAGGUUGAAUAUGAUUUGCUAUUUAAAUACUGUUAAGUUUGUGCUACAAGUGAAAAUCAGUUGUAAAGAUGGUAGAGAUUGAGUUCUGAUAUCGCAAGAGUAGAAUGUUGGAUUAUAUGAGAUGGAAUGGGAAUGAGUCCCUUAUUGAUGAGAUAUUAAGUUGGAUAUUACUGUGACUCCACUGGAUUGGUACCCCAGUUGGUUUAGUUCCCGGAGGCAUGGAUCAUCUAUAUAUGGUCGCUGUACGGGGGUAUGAUCAUACUUUGCCAUUGGGCGCCGGCAUGGCCGUCACCGUCCUUGGCUGAGGUGUUGCCAUGUGGGUCUUGCAAACCCCAAUAUGGUGGCCUCUAGUCACAAAAGAAGAUACGUGGAAUUAAGGAAGGAAUAGAAAAUGGUGAAGGCAUUGAGAAGUGCACAGAAAUGAGGAAUGGUUGGAGUAGAUUUUUAUACAUUGGAGUGUCCUUCUUCCCUCGUUUGUUGAAUUGAUUGUUGGUUGCAUAUAUAUAACUUGUUGCUGGAUACUGACGUGUACGUGUUUGUGUUUAUGUUUAAUUGUUGAUGACUUUCUAUGAUUGUCCUGCUAUGACGCAUUGGCCUUUGGUCUAAUGUCGAGCAGCAGGAGGAUUAUAGACUGGCUUAGCAGGUACUGGAGCUUUUUAUGUAUUGCAUUGCAUUUGGGAAGAGUGAUGAGCGCGAAGCAUAACUUGUGUCAUUACCCCUAUCUUUCGAUUUUGUAUCUCUUGUUAUCCUUUGUAAAUUUUGAUUGUAUAUGUUUUGUUAUGAGGCCUUGUGCCCUCCCACGUGCAUUUGUAUUUCCGCUGCGUAGUUUAUAACUCUGUAUGGUUUUGAGGAGUUAAGUCUUUUUAAAACGCAAACGUCGACACUGGAACCACGAUCCAUGCUUGGCAUGUUGAUUUGAGAAGCCGGCGACGAAUUAUUCCGCCGUGACAUAGCUUUGAUAGGCCAUUGGUGCCUUUACUUUAUUAGUUUUUGAAUUAACUUUUGUUUUCUACAAAGACGCACAAUUUUAAGGCAGAUGCUGCCAAAAUUUCCACUCACUCACCUUUUAAAAUUAAUAUUUAACGUUUAUAUAAAAACUCUUUUCCUUUUUUCUUUUAUGUAACACCCGAAUUUCCUCCCGUCCUUUACGGUUUUGGUUUCGUUAAGGGGUCGGAAAUUCAGGGGUGUUACAGGUGUUACCAGAGCCAGUGGUUCCUAUUUUCGACGCUUUGUGUCCUUAAAAUCGUUUAGAAAUUGCCUGAAGUUAGAAGUCAUUCGUGAGAGUUUGGGUAGAUAUGGGAUAGGUGCAUACAUUACAUAUUCAUGCAUAAUGAUUACCAUUGCAUGUGCAUAGAUUUAUAUAUAGUUUGUUUAGCUUGUUAUGAGAUUCAUUCUUAUGCGUGUUAUUAUUAUAAUUAAAAGUUAUGAUGGUGGUUUGAAUGAUGACAUGAUUUAACAAAUUAGUAGAAUUGAAUGAUGUAUUAUCAAGAAAUACUGAAAUUUUUGGAGUAUUUGGUUCAAGUCGAGUUGUAUUAUAAGUAGUCAUUAUGGAGAUAUGAAGUAUGAAUGAUGAAAUUCUAGAGAAGUUGGUUGCAUCGGGAACUUUCUCUUGCUUGUGAUGAUUUUAUGAAAUUUAGUCUUAUGUGUCUGAAUAUUUGUUCAUGCUAAUUGUUAACAUAAAGCUUAUGAGUUUUGAUAUUGAUUCUAUACAUGAACCCACUGUUUAUUUAUCUGCUUGAGCAUUCCAUUUGUCAAGUGCAUUCGUUCAUCAAAACAUAGAAGUGGUGAUCAUAAUUCUCUUUAAUAUGUUUAAUGACUGUGCAAGUACAAGCGUAAGUAGUUUGAACUAGAAUAAGGAUAAGAGCUAGAGUGUAAUAAGAAUUCGAUAUACUGUAAACGAAAGAAAGGGGUCUUGUAUGCAAUACCUUGUAAAUAAAGUUUUAGUCACCAGUUGAUGAAAAUAAUGCGGUCAUAGUUAAAGUAUAGAUGCGUUAAAACCUAAAUAUUAAGGAGAAGUUCAAGAGCAUGUUAAGAGUCAUAUCUGAAAAAAAUUCAACCCCCAAUUUCGAACCAUGAUCUAUAAGAGUAUUAUUGAUAUAUUCUUCAUAUAGUAAUGAGUUGAAGUCAGAGAUUGUUUUCAACGUCUCUAAGUGUUUAAAGAUAAUGCUAUAUCAGUUGAACUAAAUUAUCACAUUAGUAUUGUUGUUCAAACUAGGAUUGCCUUAAUAUUUUCAUUUGAAGUUAUAAUUCUUACUAGGUUGAGGCUCUUGACUCGUGUAAUUAGCUAUGGCAACAUUGGUGUCGAGUUUUAGUGUGGUAUAAUCAUGUCUACCAAUAAACGUUUUCACUCUCAUACGGUGAUUGAUACUGAUGCUUUAAAUUCGUUAAUGUAAUAUAUAUUUGUUAGUUCUAAACCCAACAUCCUAUGCUUGUAGUGAGAUCUUGAGAAUCAAAUUGAGAGUGAAAACGAUAGUUAACAUAUUAGCCUUAGUAAUCACUUUAUAUAUAUUUUGAUGAAUUAUAUACUAUAAGGGUCCCCUGUCAUUGAUUUUGAUUUUUGUAAGCAUCCAACUCGCAUCAAAAUGAAGAUAGUAUUUCAUGUUUGCCGAGUGAUAACGACCUUUAAAUCGCUAUUUGUUGUCAAAAAAAAAAAAAAAAAAAAAAAAAAAAAAAAAAAAAAGUUGAAGUGGUUCUUUGAAUAAAAUAAGGGUGAUUUUUUUUUUUUUCUUGAAGACAUAUGAGUUUGAGUAUCAAAGGAGAAAAAUAUCAUUCACAAGUCCUUUGUGUUUUGUAUUUCGUUGAGACAUGAUAUAUCAUUCAUACAUAAGCUAAUAGCUUUGUAUUAAAGUGGAUAGUUAAAGAAUAAUCAUCGUAAACAAAUUUGCAUGUUAGGGGCCUAAGGAUUGAUUCGAAGGAGCACUAUUGAGUUAAAGACAUUUUGUCUCAUUAAAUGCUUAUAUAGAGCGAUGAAUGUUUUAAUUGGAUGAUACUGCAAGGAAGAAUCGUGACGGCUUUAAAACGUAGCUGGAUAGAAUGAUAUUUAAAAUUAAAAAGGAAUCAGUGAUACUACAAUUUGUUUUCUCAUGGCCUUCUGGGCAGUUAUAAGACAUAAGGAUAAAAUAACCCGAUGAUGAGGUGGAUUAAGCGUCUUUGUGUACGUAAGAUACAGUUAAAUGUUUUAAGUAUUUUAGAGUAUCUCAUCGAUCACCAAUUUAAUAGUCUUGCCAGUGUAUUGAAAUGAUAAGACUUUGAUGAGAUUCUAAAUGAAGCUGACUUUACGCAAGUUAUUGUUUUAAUAAUGAUUGAUGUGAUAUGUGGUAAAUUAAGUUGGAGAGUUACUAAAGAUAAUGUGGUCCUAAUAAAAGUCAAGAGGUGUUUUAAACCUAAACAUUGAAGAAACGACAAAGAGUAUGCGAAUAAUUACAAUUGAGAGAUGAAUCGAGAUAAUGAAUUAUGCCUUAAACAAUUAUUAUACACAAUCAUUAUUAUGCGAUAAAGAGAGUUAAAUAAUAUUCGCAUUUGUGUUAAGAAGAGUUUUAAUUUGAUGUUACUAAAUCGUUGGAUCGGAAUAAGCAUUCGAUGAAAAGAGUUUUGAAAUUUUGACGCGUUUUAAUACAAACGAUUAUGUUAUAGUUGUUAGUUCUAAGUUUCGCAUCUUAGGUCGAAGGGUGAUUGAAUCCCACUUGUUACGAAGGAAUAAUUAUUGUAAUGCAUAAUCUCAAGCGUUGCGUUAUUUUGUUAACUUUGUGUUGUAAUUUAGUAUAGUGUUAGGAUUGUUAAUGUUGCAGUCAUAUGGUUGCGAUAACGGUCUUAUAGUUAGACGUAGUAUUGUGAUGGAAAUGUUGUGAUGUAGGUGGGAUAUUGUGAAAUUAGUGUUGAUAUCACAACUUUAUCAAACUGUAUGAUACAUGGUUGCUUUGCUACUGAUAUUGGAAAUUGCGAUGAUGUAGGUGUGUUCAUCAGUUAUUUUUUUUCAUCUUGCAUUUUUUUUUUAUGUAUACAUAAAAUGUCAUCUUUGUUGAUCAUCACUAUUAUUAUUACCCUGUUAGUACCAUUAGCACCGUCGUUAUAUACGUACAUGAUGCAUUACUUUAGUCAUAUAUAAGUUCAUGAUCUUAAUUGAUAUAAAUUCUAUACUUUCAACAUACCUAGUUGUAUGGUAAGUGAAUAGUUGAAAAAUGUCUUCAUGAUUGUAAAUCAUCCUCACAUUGUCGUCAUUAGAAUUUGAUAUUAUGAUGGAUAUAGGACGUUAUUGUUGAACAAUUACGAUAUAUGUAUUAGUAUCAUGGUUGUGAACGUAUAAUUAACUACGGUAACUUGCUAAAAAUGUGGUAUAUAUAAUUGGAUUAUAUACUUGAAACAUGUAUUAUGUUAUGAGUUAUUAAUUUGAGUUAUUAAUCUACUAAUCGAUUCUUGAUGUAUGAAUUAAAAUGUUAUAAAAUGAUUUGAUCAUAUAUGAUUAAUGAAAAGGGUAUUUCAUGUUAAGUAAAAGGUUAGGAUUAUGUUAUGAUAAGUAAAGUUAGCGAUGAAUCGAUUUGGGAGGUGAUAACCAAUCAGUUUUGUAAGAUUCAAGUAUCCUCAGGUCUAGGGUGUCUAAUUGUUAUACGAGUUAAGUGUUGAGUAACUUCGUGCACUUUACUUUUAGGACUUUGUUGUUUUGAUAUUUUACCCCCAUUCAUGGUUCAAAUUAUAAUAUUUAAACCUUCCGUACAUUUCAAGAUUAUCGCAAAGUCGACCUUAGGUGGUCACGUAGAAUUGAAAAAAAAAAAAAAAAAAAAAAAAAAAAAGUUGUUUGAGAAUUACAUUAGAUAACAGGACGUUUCGUGUUGUUACGAACUCAAGUGAUAUUUUUUUUUUAAAAA